rnacentral:rRNA from 1 species
AGAGUUUGAUCAUGGCUCAGAUUGAACGCUGGCGGCAGGCCUAACACAUGCAAGUCGAGCGGUAGAGAGAAGCUUGCUUCUCUUGAGAGCGGCGGACGGGUGAGUAAUGCCUAGGAAUCUGCCUGGUAGUGGGGGAUAACGUUCGGAAACGGACGCUAAUACCGCAUACGUCCUACGGGAGAAAGCAGGGGACCUUCGGGCCUUGCGCUAUCAGAUGAGCCUAGGUCGGAUUAGCUAGUUGGUGAGGUAAUGGCUCACCAAGGCGACGAUCCGUAACUGGUCUGAGAGGAUGAUCAGUCACACUGGAACUGAGACACGGUCCAGACUCCUACGGGAGGCAGCAGUGGGGAAUAUUGGACAAUGGGCGAAAGCCUGAUCCAGCCAUGCCGCGUGUGUGAAGAAGGUCUUCGGAUUGUAAGGCACUUUAAGUUGGGAGGAAGGGUUGUAGAUUAAUACUCUGCAAUUUUGACGUUACCGACAGAAUAAGCACCGGCUAACUCUGUGCCAGCAGCCGCGGUAAUACAGAGGGUGCAAGCGUUAAUCGGAAUUACUGGGCGUAAAGCGCGCGUAGGUGGUUUGUUAAGUUGGAUGUGAAAUCCCCGGGCUCAACCUGGGAACUGCAUUCAAAACUGACUGACUAGAGUAUGGUAGAGGGUGGUGGAAUUUCCUGUGUAGCGGUGAAAUGCGUAGAUAUAGGAAGGAACACCAGUGGCGAAGGCGACCACCUGGACUGAUACUGACACUGAGGUGCGAAAGCGUGGGGAGCAAACAGGAUUAGAUACCCUGGUAGUCC